GGAUUAGAUACCCUGGUAGUCCACGCCGUAAACUAUGAAAACUUGCUGUUGGACACAUAAAUGUGUUUAGUGGCGAAGCUAACGCGUUAAGUUUUCCGCCUGGGGAGUACGAUCGCAAGGUUAAAACUCAAAGGAAUUGACGGGGGCCCGCACAAGCGGUGGAGCAUGUGGUUUAAUUCGAUGCUACACGAAAAACCUUACCUACUCUUGAUCUCUAUAUCGAGUAGAGAUACUCGAGUGCCUUUUAGGAAUUAGAUGACAGGUGCUGCAUGGCUGUCGUCAGCUCGUGCUG
rnacentral:rRNA from 1 species